rnacentral:rRNA from 1 species
GACGAACGCUGGCGGCGUGCUUAACACAUGCAAGUCGAGCGGUAAGGCCCUUUCGGGGGUACACGAGCGGCGAACGGGUGAGUAACACGUGGGUGACCUGCCCUCAGCUCUGGGAUAAGCCUGGGAAACCGGGUCUAAUACUGGAUAUGACUCCAUGACGCAUGUUGUGGGGUGGAAAGCCUUGUGCGGUUGAGGAUGGGCCCGCGGCCUAUCAGCUUGUUGGUGGGGUGAUGGCCUACCAAGGCGACGACGGGUAGCCGGCCUGAGAGGGCGACCGGCCACACUGGGACUGAGACACGGCCCAGACUCCUACGGGAGGCAGCAGUGGGGAAUCUUGCGCAAUGGGCGAAAGCCUGACGCAGCGACGCCGCGUGAGGGAUGACGGCCU